GCAGUUGGAUAGUGUGUACGCACAUUUGUUUAGAGAAAACAAAUAGUCUAUAAUUUUAGAUUCCAACCCCUUCUUCGGAUGAUUAACAUAAGUGAUGUUAAGUUAUUAAAUGGUGCAAGUUGUUUAUGGUGUUAGAUUACGCCAUAUUUACAUAUUGUUAAUAGAUUAAGAGAAGUAUCUUCAUAAAGUAGCACAUUAAAGAAAAACAUGGAUAGGUUUGCCCUUAGGGAUUUACUAGUAUUGUUGUAGUAGACUGAUAUUUGUAAAGAAAAAAUAAGAGACAUAUGAACUUCAGAACUUAAUGACAAAAUUUAAGUGAAAUAGAUAAUUGAU
rnacentral:lncRNA from 1 species